GGUACAAACAGUAUAAACUUUGAUAAUAACAGAGCUGUAAGAAAUGUAAAUAUUUAUUCUGACUGAUCAAACUUCAUUAUUUCAGCAGAUGAAUACAACAACGUCACAUCUGGAUUUCAGCUUGAAGGUCUUGAUAAGAGGAGCAGACAUGAUGGCACAGAGGAGAGCUCUGACUACAAUAAUGUGAAUCCUGAAUCAGCCUCAGGUACA